UACGUAGGUGGCAAGCGUUGUCCGGAAUUACUGGGUGUAAAGGGAGCGCAGGCGGGAAAUCAAGUUGGAUGUGAAAUGUCGGGGCUUAACCCCGGAACUGCAUCCAAAACUGAUAUUCUUGAGUGAAGUAGAGGUAGGCGGAAUUCCGAGUGUAGCGGUGAAAUGCGUAGAUAUUCGGAGGAACACCAGUGGCGAAGGCGGCCUACUGGGCUUUAACUGACGCUGAGGCUCGAAAGUGUGGGGAGCAAACAGG
rnacentral:rRNA from 3 species